UGAGGCAGGAGAAUUGCUUGAACUUGGGAGGUGGAGGUUGCAGUGAGCCGAGAUUGUGCCACUGCACUCCAGCCUGGGUGACAAAGCAAGACUCUGUCUUGGA
ensembl:miRNA